GCGCUCGUAGCUCAGCUGGAUAGAGUACCUGGCUGCGAACCAGGCGGUCGGAGGUUCGAAUCCUCCCGAGCGCGCCA
rnacentral:tRNA from 1 species